GGGUGAGUAACGCGUGAGUAACCUGCCUUUCAGAGGGGGAUAACGUUCUGAAAAGAACGCUAAUACCGCAUAAGAUUGUAGUUUCGCAUGGAGCAGCAAUCAAAGGAGCAAUCCGCUGAAAGAUGGACUCGCGUCCGAUUAGAUAGUUGGCGGGGUAACGGCCCACCAAGUCGACGAUCGGUAGCCGGACUGAGAGGUUGAUCGGCCACAUUGGGACUGAGACACGGCCCAG
rnacentral:rRNA from 1 species